rnacentral:rRNA from 1 species
UGCCNCNGAUAUUUUAUUAAAGGGCUGCAGUAUUUUGACUGUACAAAGGUAGCAUAAUCAUUAGUCAUUUAAUUGAUGACUUGUAUGAAAGAUUGGAUGAAAUAUAAACUGUCUUAAAUAUAGAUUGUANAAUUUAAUUUUUUAUUUAAAAAGUUAAAAUAUUUUAAAAAGACGAGAAGACCCUAUAGAGUUUUAUUUUAAUAAUAUCUUAAGGUUUUUUAUAAAAUUAAUAAUUUAAAUUUAUUUUAAAAUUUUAUUGGGGUGAUAGAAAAAUUAAAUAAACUUUUUUUUUUUUUUACAUAAAUAAAUGGUUAAAUGAUCCAAUUUUAUUGAUUAUAAGAAAAAAUUACCUUAGGGAUAACAGCGUAAUUUUUUUUUUUAGUUCAAAUAAGAAAAAGAGUUUGCGACCUCGAUGUUGGAUUAAGAUAAAAUUUAAAUGCAGAAGUUUAAA